UCAAGGUCACUUGGAUUCGUCUGCAAGCGAGACAAGUAGAAAAUGAAUUUUAAUGAAUGUUUUGAUGAUUUGGGUGCUAAAAUAGAUGAGAGAUGUCAAUAUUUUGGUCCAAAUGGAUGUUUUAGGUGGUUUUGGACUGUUCCGGAUGGGUGGGGGACCUGGUAUGGACAAGCCUGACCGUUUGUCCUUGAGCCGUCGAUGGUCAACAAUCCGCUAGCUGUCUUGCUCUGACUGGUGCACUGGACAUGAUUUCAAUAGUUAGCCAGACCAUGAUUGAGCUUAAGGAUUGUGCUGCGGAUGCAGCCUGUGCAGUUCCGGGAGAAAGUCACUGUCUUGGGCAAUGCGGUCUGGUAUCAGGUCUGGAUGAUCCUUGCCUGACUGCGGGUUUGUGUACACCUCAAUCCGACUCUGUGUCCUGAACAGAGGCCGCAGUGGUGCAGCGCUUGUGGACGUUCCAUCAACAUCCUGAAAGGUCAACACUACACCCAGCUGGGAAAAUUGAUCCUGAUAGUCAUCCCCAGGUAGUGGAAUGAAUGUACACUGAACUACAGAGGAAUCACACCCAAAUGACUUUCCUGCCACGACAUUAGUGUGGCCACUCGCGUAGGAAUUCCUUAGCAAACGUGCUCUUUUGCAUGGUGACUGUGGGCAUUUUUGCAAAACUUACGCUUUCAACACUGGAUUUUAAAGAGAAUACUUAAUAAAAUGUCGCUAACAGGACUUAUUUAUAUGAGAGAGACUAUCUGGAUGCGCAUUAAGUGUCACUUUGUGUCGUAAGCUGUUGAAGGAGCGCUUUGCGCCUUUUUAAGUGUUAAUUUUGGGUAGCCGGCUUGUAUCGGCUUGAAAGCUGCAAAUUAUGCCUCUCAUCAUAAUAGCAUUAAUUUUUGUAAUUGCAAUGUGUAUGUUUAGAUUGUAAGUGAAGCUUUUAAUAAUAAUUUUCUUAAAAAACAUGAUUUUAUAUGCUGUCA